AGCAGCCGCGGUAAUUCCAGCUCCAAUAGCGUAUAUUAAAGUUGUUGCAGUUAAAAAGCUCGUAGUUGAAUUUCGGGAUUAGUACGCUGGUCAUGCCUUUGGUAUGUACUGGUGUUACUGGUUCCUACCUUCUGAAGAACCGUUAUGUCAUUAAUUUGGUGUGGCGGGGAAUCAGGACUGUUACUUUGAAAAAAUUAGAGUGUUUAAAGCAGGCUCGCGCUUGAAUACAUUAGCAUGGAAUAAUGAAAUAGGACGUUCGAUCCUAUUUUGUUGGUUUCUAGGAUUGACGUAAUGAUUAAUAGGGAUAGUUGGGGGCAUUAGUAUUCAAUUGUCAGAGGUGAAAUUCUUGGAUUUAUUGAAGACUAACUACUGCGAAAGCAUUUGCCAAGGAUGUUUUCAUUAAUCAAGAACGAAAGUUAGGGGAUCGAAGACGAUCAGAUACCGUCGUAG
rnacentral:rRNA from 1 species